GAUGAACGCUAGCGGGAGGCCUAACACAUGCAAGCCGAGCGGUAGAUUUUCUUCGGAAACUUGAGAGCGGCGCACGGGUGCGUAACACGUGUGCAACCUACCUUUAUCUGGGGGAUAGCCUUUCGAAAGGAAGAUUAAUACCCCAUAAUAUAAUGAUUGGCAUCAAUUAUUAUUGAAAACUCCGGUGGAUAGAGAUGGGCACGCGCAAGAUUAGAUAGUUGGUGAGGUAACGGCUCACCAAGUCAAUGAUCUUUAGGGGUCCUGAGAGGGAGAUCCCCCACACUGGUACUGAGACACGGACCAGACUCCUACGGGAGGCAGCAGUGAGGAAUAUUGGACAAUGGGUGAGAGCCUGAUCCAGCCAUCCCGCGUGAAGGAUGACGGUCCUAUGGAUUGUAAACUUCUUUUGUACAGGGAUAAACCUACCCUCGUGAGGGUAGCUGAAGGUACUGUACGAAUAAGCACCGGCUAACUCCGUG
rnacentral:rRNA from 1 species